GCGCGGGGGCUCGGUGCGGGGCUCGGUCUUCGGGGUCUUGGCAAUCGCCGUCGGGGCGGCGGGGCUGUGCCGGUCUCGGCCCGCCUGCCCCCGCGCACUGCCCGGGACGAGGGAAACAGGAAUGCGUGGCUACCUGAGGACUCUGACAUUUCCUUUUCCUGGAAUGAGAUUUCAGGUGUUUCGGGCGUUCCCCCCUCCGUCCCGCAGGAGGUGCCUGUCGGGCCCCAGCAGCCCAGCAGCCCAGGAGCAGAGCAGAUCUCCCAUCUCUUGUUCCCGCAACACACGCGCACACGCCACCUAAAACCGGAGAAUCUGUAGCAGAUUUUGACCACUUCCCUCCAGAUGGUCUGAAGAAAAAGUCCCCCAGCAGCAGAGACACAGGCCAAGGGAGAAGCAGGCUCCUUGCGGGGACCCCGGGGUCACGCCCUGGGACCAAGGUGGACACUCAACCCCUGAGCCACCCAGGUGCCCUGGAUGUUGAGCUUUGAUACCUGGCAACCACCUUCCUAUCCUGGAGCCUCAGCCUAAGCAGAGAGGACAAAGGUCAGUGGGUCCCUUGAGCUGAAGCUGCAGGAUAGGAAGGUGACCAACAGGUACCAAAGCUCCAGAACUGGCUGGCUGACACCAUCCUGGGUGGUCAGGAAGGGGGGAGAAGUCAGUGGAAGGAGCACUCGGGGAGGUGGAGAAUCGGGAUUCUGGGCCACGGAGGAGAUCAGUGUGUCGGAGGAAGCAGCCGCGCACACAGCAGGCGGCCAGCAAGCCUUCUGCCAGAGUGUGAAGAUUCCAGACGCUGAUGUUCUGGUACCAGGCCCUAAUGUUGGUGUAGGACAGUAGCGUCUUCAGACACAUCCUCUACUUUGAUGAAGACCGGGCCCCGCCCCCAGAGGCUCCCGGUGGGGGAGCACACGGGUCCAUCGCCUGCUGAGAUUUUUGUUUUAAAAGCUAGAGAAAUUAAUCAAAAAACAGAUGUAAAAUACAAGCCUAUUUUUUUUUAUCCGAUUCAGAAAAUCCUAUUCGCAAAGUCACUGUGCCUAACCACUAGGGAUGCUUCCCAGUAUCCUUCUUGGUUGCUCUGUGCCUCUCCUCGUGGAAGGUACCAGACAGCGCUUGGGGCUGCGACCCACCCUGAGUCGCCCUGGAGCACGGGGUGCACGCCGGAUGUCCGGCAACCGAAGUCAGCUCGCGUGGGAAUUCUGGUUGCCCUACGGACGUUUUUGUCUGUCUGUCCGUUGGGUUGGCAAUCCAGAGAUUUCACAGAAAAUCCAGCUUUUCCUGAAAAGCGGAAAGUUCCUCCCAAGGCAUUUGAGCCCCUGCUCCGUGUCAGGGCCACCCGAUGGCCCUCGCCGCCUCGCUGGGGGAGACCCCGGCCUGGGCCGUGGGGUCGGCGUGGAGCGGCCGUCCGGGGCCCCAGACGUUCUCACUUCCCGUCAGUCCAAGGCUGAGGUCCUGAGAUGCACGCGGCUACUUUGACGAAUAUGAAGGCUCACGUACGCACGAGCUCGCAAGUGUUCCUGGUGAGUGUCGUACCGGUGUUUUGCCACUUUCUCUUGGUCUCAGCAGAUAGAGAAGUAAAAGUGCGACUCUCUCUCUUUUUUAUGUUCAAGAGGGGCUGCCUCCUCAUGGCCAGGUUAGAGGCCUGCGGCCCUGUAAGAGCUCUCCUCCUCAGACUCUGCUUCACGGACGCGCCCCCCAAAAGAAGGUCAAAAUAUGGUGUAUCCCGGCUCUUUUUUAAAAUGACAGCUACGAGUUUGCAUUCUAAACUGAUGCUGUUGGCAAAGGGUAAUAUCCUGUGUUCUGCAAAAAUUGACAUUUUCGAAUAAAGCCAUGACGUCACUUAUUAAAAUGUAUCCAAUGGGAUCCAAAUACCACAGCAAGCAGAUACCUAUCAUCGUUCACUUAAAAAAUACACGAAUAAGCUCUUUCUUUAUGCUGGCGGGUUUUACAUGUCUUUUUUUUGUUGUUGUUGUUGUUGUUGUUUGUUUGUUUUUUCUCUAUUUGUAUUUAUAUAGCCAU